CCUACGGGAGGCAGCAGUGGGGGAUAUUGCACAAUGGGGGGAACCCUGAUGCAGCGACGCCGCGUGGGUGAAGGAGCGUUUCGGCGCGUAAAGCCCUAUCGGCAGGGAAGAAGGAGGACGGUACCUGACUAAGAAGCCCCGGCUAACUACGUGCCAGCAGCCGCGGUAAUACGUAGGGGGCAAGCGUUAUCCGGAUUUAUUGGGUUUAAAGGGUGCGCAGGCGGCACGGCAAGCCGGCGGUCAAAGUGCGGGG
rnacentral:rRNA from 1 species